rnacentral:rRNA from 1 species
UACGUAAGGUGCAAGCGUUGUCCGGAAUUAUUGGGCGUAAAGAGCUCGUAGGCGGUUUGUCACGUCGGAUGUGAAAACCCGAGGCUUAACCUCGGGCCUGCAUUCGAUACGGGCUGACUAGAGUUCGGUAGGGGAGACUGGAAUUCCUGGUGUAGCGGUGAAAUGCGCAGAUAUCAGGAGGAACACCGGUGGCGAAGGCGGGUCUCUGGGCAGUAACUGACGCUGAGGAGCGAAAGCGUGGGGAGCGAACAGG